rnacentral:sRNA from 1 species
CACGUAAUGAUGGCGGUCGGCUUGACG